rnacentral:pre_miRNA from 1 species
ACGCGGGUACCAGCCGACAAUACGGCUAUCAGCCGGGCGUGUCUGUAGUAUACUAUAGUAUAUUACAGACACGCCCGCCUGAUAGCCGUGUUGUCGGCUGGUACUGCGUAUUG